AACGAACGCUGGCGGCAGGCCUAACACAUGCAAGUCGAGCGAAGCCUUCGGGCUUAGCGGCGGACGGGUGAGUAACGCGUGGGAACGUGCCCUUUGGUACGGAAUAGCCCCGGGAAACUGGGAGUAAUACCGUAUGUGGUCGAGAGACGAAAGAUUUAUCGCCAAAGGAUCGGCCCGCGUUGGAUUAGGUAGUUGGUGGGGUAAGGGCCUACCAAGCCGACGAUCCAUAGCUGGUUUGAGAGGAUGAUCAGCCACACUGGGACGUGAGACACGGCCCAGACUCCUACGGGAGGCAGCAGUGGGGAAUCUUAGACAAUGGGGGAAACCCUGAUCUAGCCAUGCCGCGUGAUCGAUGAAGGCCUUAGGGUUGUAAAGAUCUUUCAGUGGGGAAGAUAAUGACUGUACCCACAGAAGAAGCCCCGGCUAACUCCGUGCCAGCCGCCGCCGUAA
rnacentral:rRNA from 1 species